rnacentral:rRNA from 1 species
UACGUAGGGGGGCGAGCGUUUGUCCGGAAUUAUUGGGCGUAAAGAGCGUGUAGGCGGUUCGGUAAGUCCGCUCUGAAAGCCCGGGGCUCAACCCCGGGAGGCGGGUGGAUACUGCUGAGCUCGAGUCCGGAAGAGGAGUGUGGAAUUCCUGGUGUAGCGGUGAAAUGCGCAGAUAUCAGGAGGAACACCAAUGGCGAAGGCAGCACUCUGGGACGGUACUGACGCUGAGACGCGAAAAGCGUGGGGAGCAAACAGG